rnacentral:lncRNA from 1 species
CCACCUUGCCCGGCCUUGCCUUGCCGUGGAUAGUUUGUAUUAUUUGUGCUUUUUAAGAAUAUUUUUUUAAUUCGGAUACUUUUAUAAUAGCUUUAAUAGUAUUAUUAACAUAGUGCAUAAAAUGGUGUCCUGUUUUUGACGCAGUUGGAGUAGCAGAAACAAAUGUAGAUAAAAAAAUCUGCAGGAAUAACGUUUCAAUUAUGACAGAAGCUCGAAACAAAUGACUGUGAAUUAGUGUGAAUGAAAAGCCCUAUUAAAAGCUUUCCAGAAGAUCCUGCGAAGAAGACAUGAAGUAUAGAUCAGAUUUGUUAAUAGAGGAGUAUGUUCAAAACACUUUUUAGAAAAAGAUAUUGACAGAACUUCACUUUCAUCUGUUCGUUUGAGAGACUGUGCUGUUCCAAUAGCUUAUGUCACACAGAAUCAGCUGAGAGAAGUGGUCUACAAAAAACCAGAAAGGAAACGGAAUAUGUGGCUACGAAAAGCAAAAGAAAGGUUUACAAAGCAAAUGUGACACAUUUUUUUAUAAUAUUUAGGAAUAUCAGUAAAUUACAUUAAAAAAUGUAUGUAAAGAUUUUUUGCAAUAAAAAUGUUUAUAUUUA